rnacentral:lncRNA from 10 species
CAAUCUUGCUUCCUUCUUUUCAUUUACUAAAUAGGCUUUUGAGCCUCACAAGACUUUGAGAUUUUAUGGAUAUGAAACCUGCUAUCAUUUAGCAUCCUGCCUCUGGGAAUAGACAUGGAUUCUCACUAUGACACCCAGGCUGGAGUGCAGUGGCACAAUCAUAGCUGACUACAGCCUCGAAUUUCUGGGCUCAAGCAAGGCUUUCAUCUCAACCUCCCCAGGAGCUGGGAUUACAGAUGGUGUCAGAAGCGGGGUUCAAAGUAGAGCUUUAAUGACCCCCAGAAGUGCUGAGUGAACAAGCAAGGUACCUGCAAGGACCCACUUGUGUCCUUUGAUCUCUCAGAGCAGUGGAUCUGCUUGCUUCCCCUUUGCCUUCUGCCAUGAUUGUAAGUUUCCUGAGGCCUCCUACAUCAUGCCUCCUGUAUAGCCUGCAGAACUCAAGAAUUAAAUUUGAAAGACCAUAUGAAGAAGCACAGUAUUUAUCCAACCAACAUUAAAAUGUCACUCUGGGAGAUUAUUUCAAAUU